UGGGAGAACUUCUGUGUUUAAAUAUAAGCAAAUACAUUUAAAAAGAGGAGUGGUCAAAGCAGAUUGCAUCCAGAGAAAAACAACUACAAGAGCACAGUUGUCAAAUAAGGAAAUUGAAGGAGUCUGGUACUGAGAAAAGGGUAAUAUGUGUAUGUGAUGUGUUUCUGCACCUGGAAAAAAUUAUUGAUAGGUACAUAAUAGCUUUAUAGAAAAAUAUGAAUAAAGAGAAAAUGAUAAAAAUGUAAAAGUCAAUUAACCUAAUAACUCCAACAGCAAAAGGUUACUCUAAAAAAUGAUA
rnacentral:lncRNA from 1 species